AGGUUUCAAUCUGUCAUGUGACGUGGAUGUCACGUGCCAUGGCUACAGCGCUGUUUCAGCUCAGGUUUGGUGAGGGCGUGCUUAUCCUGUCUGAAAGCUGUCGAUCAUCUCGAUCAGUCUCGCCAUGCAAGAUGAAGACUGAACAAGUUCGAUCGAGGACCACUUGUUGACUGGUGGUCGAGUUGUAACAAAACUCAUGCCCGGUGUACGUCUUUAAACGAUGGGCAAAACGUCAUCACGAAACUAAUUUGUCACGUCUCCCUGCAGUACAUUAGGUUGCGCCCCAGCCUCUGUUGUAACCAUCGAUGUAACCAACCUCGGCACUGCCUCGUCCCCAUUGUGUCGAGCAGUAUUUGCUCCCACUACCUGGUCUCUCUCUACCAGCUACAAUUGGAAACGAGGUGACUAAUAAUAAAGUAGGCCCUGGGGACGAGGUUGACCUCGGCAAGAUAGUGGCGAAUAAUUUGUAUAGACUAGCAUGAGUUGGACUGAGGAUAGUCGAACUAUGGUUAACUGGAAUUCUGGCUCGAACUUGCUCAAACCAGCCACCAGGAAUGCAACGGGACCGUCAAGUCUGUAGGCAGGGAAUCAUGCAACAAGCCACUUAACUUAUAGCCCUGUUUCCAACACUGAUUCUUGAUCUAGUGCUGUUUCAAUGUGAACACCAUCUUAAGUUUUUUCAAGAAGAAAAACAUUUGAAGUGGGAAUUUUGAUCAUUGCGCCUUUAAAGCAUGACAUGUUUUGUCAUCAUAGAAUCCCAAUAGGGUUGGCAUUUUAAAUGCGUUUUGUGAAGGCUCUUUGAUCAAGGAUCUCGCGUAUAAAAUUGAAUGUGCGCUAAAUAAGCUAAAUAAGCUUGCCGACUCAAUUACAUGUAUCGGCCAAUUAACGCACAAACAACGCAUACAAAUGAUGUAUACUUCGUUGUGACUAA